ACUCAAAGGAAUUGACGGGGGCCCGCACAAGCGGUGGAGCAUGUGGUUUAAUUCGACGCAACGCGAAGAACCUUACCUGGGCUCGAAAUGCUAUGGACCAGCUGGUGAAAGCCGGCCUUCCCGCAAGGGACUGUAGUAUAGGUGCUGCAUGGCUGUCGUCAGCUCGUGUCGUGAGAUGUUGGGUUAAGUCCCGCAACGAGCGCAACCCUUGUCCUGUGUUGCCAGGCUCCCUUAAAAGAGCCGGAACUCGCAGGAGACCGCCAGGGAUAACCUGGAGGAAGGUGGGGAUGACGUCAAGUCCUCAUGGCCUUUAUGUCCAGGGCUACACACGUGCUACAAUGGACGGUACAAAGGGCUGCCAACCCGCGAGGGGGAGCCAAUCCCAAAAAACCGUUCUCAGUUCGGAUUGCAGGCUGCAACUCGCCUGCAUGAAGCUGGAAUCGCUAGUAAUGCUGGAUCAGAACGCCAGCGUGAAUACGUUCCCGGGCCUUGCACACACCGCCCGU
rnacentral:rRNA from 1 species